rnacentral:rRNA from 1 species
GAUGAACGCUGGCGGCGUGCCUAAUACAUGCAAGUCGAGCGAACAGACGAGGAGCUUGCUCCUCUGACGUUAGCGGCGGACGGGUGAGUAACACGUGGAUAACCUACCUAUAAGACUGGGAUAACUUUGGGAAACCGGAGCUAAUACCGGAUAAUAUAUUGAACCGCAUGGUUCAAUAGUGAAAGACGGUUUUGCUGUCACUUAUAGAUGGAUCCGCGCCGCAUUAGCUAGUUGGUAAGGUAACGGCUUACCAAGGCGACGAUGCGUAGCCGACCUGAGAGGGUGAUCGGCCACGCUGGAACUGAGACACGGUCCAGACUCCUACGGGAGGCAGCAGUAGGGAAUCUUCCGCAAUGGGCGAAAGCCUGACGGAGCAACGCCGCGUGAGUGAUGAAGGUCUUCGGAUCGUAAAACUCUGCUAUUAGGGAAGAACAAAUGUGUAAGUAACUAUGCACGUCUUGACGGUACCUAAUCAGAAAGCCACGGCUAACUACGUG